AAUUUCCCAGCUUUUCUAAUGGAUUCAAUGAUACAAUCACCAUCUCAUGAAAUCUCCAGCUUCAUUCUUUACUGGGACUGUGCAGAAGAAUAGAAGUUUAAACUCUGUGGUCUACACCUCAGCUGUUGGCUGUUUCAGGGUACAGAAUAUCUGCUCCCAACAGCCUUUCGUUUUCACAUGUUCCAUCAGGAGCGGAGUCAAGGGAACUUGACGGGUUUGAUACAUUUUGCAGUUGUUUGCAGUAAAGACUCAUCUGUGGCA